UGUAGCUUGACAUUGGGUCUUGGUACUACAUGUACAGGAUAGGUGGGAGGCUUUGAAACCAGGACGCCAGUUUUGGCGGAGCCAUCCUUGGGAUACCACCCUUGUAGUACUGGGACUCUAACCAUAGGCCAUGAAGCUGGUCUUGGGACACUGUCAGGUGGGCAGUUUGACUGGGGCGGUCGCCUCCCAAAAGGUAACGGAGGCGCUCAAAGGUUCUCUCAGUACGGUCGGAAAUCGUACGUAGAGUGUAAAGGCAAAAGAGGGCUUGAUUGCAAGACAUACAGGUCGAGCAAGGAUGAAAAUCGGACUUAGUGAUCCGGUGGU
rnacentral:rRNA from 1 species